rfam:Capsella rubella cultivar Monte Gargano unplaced genomic scaffold scaffold_4, whole genome shotgun sequence.
AACCCAUGGUGUGGGCAUUGAGAUUGAUAUCCCUUGAACUGUUCCCAUACUUCACACAACGUCUCGCUGUUCUUCUAGGCGAAGCUUGAGAUUUCAUUCCUAAGACG